rnacentral:lncRNA from 1 species
UUUUUUCCCCCACAAGCCCCACUGCAUCUACAGCAAAGGGAGCAAACAGGCAGAGAAGAACUUGGGGCUCUGUCUCAGACCUCUGCUGGGACAUCAUCCUCAGAGAUGGGAUCUCCAAAGCAGAGUCUGUGGGAGCAGGACAGUGUUCUCAGACCUUAGGGAGUCUCACAUUCAGUCCCUGUUGUCUCUGGGGUCUGAGACAGGAGGAUCUGAAGCAAUUUAGCCACCAUGGAGAGAAGUGACUGGUCCCUUGCACGGAGCAAGGAGGAUUUGGGUUCCCACAGCCUGCCCGUGCCAGGAGGAUGGAAAACAGGGCUGGGCUCAGCUGUGUCACCGCUGGAGGCUGUGCUGCAGGAGCAGAGCUGGCCCUGAGCCCUUCCCUGCAGCCUCUGUGCCCCAGCUCCCCCGGGGCUGCCUCAGCACACCAGCCUCGCUCAGCACCGACUGCAGGAGGGGACACCAAGGACACCCAGCCUGGCACAGUGCCAGCCCCCAGGGUGACACUGGGCACAGGGGAUCCCUCUGCAGAGCAGUGCCUGCACUGGAAACCAGGUGAGAUGCCAGGCUGGUUUGUUUGCAGCAGGUGGCACAGACACUGGGAAGGCCUUUGCACUUAGUGAUGGCACCAGAAGGUCCCUUUGGUGGCUCUGGUGGCUGCUCCAAACUCGCACACCUUGCAGAGAGAGGGAAGGCAAUUCAGCACCGUGCUGGCUCUCCAGAGGAACUGAGCUGAGCCCAGGGCUGCUGAACCAGGGCCAUCUGCAGGUGCUGCUGUGCUGGGAACACAGCACCCUGCUCCCCUGCCCAGCACAGCUCUGUGGGCUGGCACUGCUGGGAGCACAGCACCCUGCUCCCCUGCCCAGCACAGCUCCGUGGGCUGGCACUGCUGGCACCAGGCUGCACCCACAGACGUGGGAACCUGCAGGAUUUUGGCAAGCGUGGACGUGGGGGAGGCAGAGCCCUGCCCCACCCUGGCAGGCUGGCCCUGGUUCAGGGGAUCCUGCUCCUGGCACUCUGAGCAGCCAGGGAUGGCAGGGCAGACGCCAGGUUCCAGCAGAGUCCUGGGGAAUGAUCUUUGGCUUUGCUGGCUCGGGCUGGGGCUGCACAGCAGAGUCUGGCUGGCCUGGCACUGAUGCUGGCACUCAGCAAGGCUGAUCUUCCCCUGCCUGGAGGGCAUCGAGGAAUGUUUGGCCACGGGGCUCUCCUGGAAGCAGCACCCACCCUCUGCCC